ACGGGAGGCAGCAGUGGGGAAUAUUGCACAAUGGGCGAAAGCCUGAUGCAGCGACGCCGCGUGAGCGAAGAAGUAUUUCGGUAUGUAAAGCUCUAUCAGCAGGGAAGAAAAAUGACGGUACCUGACUAAGAAGCACCGGCUAAAUACGUGCCAGCAGCCGCGGUAAUACGUAUGGUGCAAGCGUUAUCCGGAUUUACUGGGUGUAAAGGGAGCGCAGGCGGUACGGCAAGUCUGAUGUGAAAGCCCGGGGCUCAACCCCGGUACUGCAUUGGAAACUGUCGAACUAGAGUGUCGGAGGGGUAAGUGGAAUUCCUAGUGUAGCGGUGAAAUGCGUAGAUAUUAGGAGGAACACCAGUGGCGAAGGCGAUCUACUGGACAGUAACUGACGCUGAGGCGCGAAAGCGUGGGGAGCAAACAGGAUUAGAUACCCUGGUA
rnacentral:rRNA from 1 species